rnacentral:snRNA from 1 species
GGAUGUGAGGGUGAUCUGGCUGUGACAUCUGUCACCCCACUGAUUGCCAGGGUUGAUUCGGCUGAUCUGGCUAGUUAGGCCAGUGUCCCCUUCCUCCCUCACCACUCCAUGUGCAUCCCUCUUGAAGCUGCAUGCUUGGCCAAAGAGGAUGACCUUCCGCCAAUGGAAGAGGACUGGUCUUCAGUCAAGGGUAUACGCGUAGCUGCGCUCCCCUGCUGGAACCUCCAAACGAGCUCUCAAGGUCUGGGGUUUGGGCAGCAUCUGGAGUCAUUCUCCCUGCCACCCCUGACACCUGCCUGGCAGCAGUGUGGAG